rnacentral:rRNA from 1 species
CAAUAGCGUAUAUUAAAGUUGUUGCAGUUAAAAAGCUCGUAGUUGGAUUUGUGGUUCGUCCCGCCGGCUGGGUCAUUGACUUUUGCUGUGCUGGUCGUCCAUCCUUGGGUGGAAUCUGUGUGGCAUUAGGUUGUCGCGCAGGGGAUGCCCAUCGUUUACUGUGAAAAAAUUAGAGUGUUCAAAGCAGGCUUAUGCCGUUGAAUAUAUUAGCAUGGAAUAAUGAUAUAGGACCUUGGUACUAUUUUGUUGGUUUGCGCACUGAGGUAAUGAUUAAUAGGGACAGUUGGGGGUAUUCGUAUUCCAUUGUAAGAGGUGAAAUUCUUGGAUUUUUGGAAGACGAACUACUGCGAAAGCAUUUACCAAGGAUGUUUUCAUUGA